rnacentral:rRNA from 1 species
GACGUAGGGCGCGAGCGUUGUCCGGAUUUAUUGGGCGUAAAGAGCUCGUAGGCGGCUUGUUGCGUCGACCGUGAAAACCCGCGGCUUAACUGCGGGCUUGCGGUUGAUACGGGCGGGCUGGAGUUCGGUAGGGGAGACUGGAAUUCCUGGUGUAGCGGUGAAAUGCGUAGAUAUCUGGAGGAACACCGGUGGCGAAGGCGGCAUCCUGGACCGACACUGACACUGAGGAGCGAAAGCCAGGGGAGCAAACGGG